rnacentral:rRNA from 1 species
ACGGAAGGCAGCAGUGGGGGAUAUUGCACAAUGGGCGCAAGCCUGAUGCAGCAACGCCGCGUGAGGGAAGACGGUUUUCGGAUUGUAAACCUCUGUUUUUGGUGAAGAUAAUGACGGUAGCCAAGGAGGAAGCCACGGCUAACUACGUGCCAGCAGCCGCGGUAAUACGUAGGGGGCAAGCGUUGUCCGGAAUUACUGGGUGUAAAGGGAGCGCAGGCGGGACGGCAAGUUGGAUGUGAAAUACCGCAGCUUAACUGCGGAGCUGCAUCCAAAACUGUCGUUCUUGAGUGGAGUAGAGGCAAGCGGAAUUCCGAGUGUAGCGGUGAAAUGCGUAGAUAUUCGGAGGAACACCAGUGGCGAAGGCGGCCUACUGGGCUCUAACUGACGCUGAGGCUCGAAAGUGUGGGGAGCAAACAGGAUUAGAUACCCUGGUA